ACCAUCUUCAUAGAUGACAUAAUUUCAAUUGCAGAAAACCCCACGUGACAUACAGAAAUAAGACAAAAAAAAAAAAAACUUCUGGAAUAAGUGAAUAAUUCACCAAAGCUGAGGAUGCAAGACAAACAAAAAGUCAGUUUUAUUUUUACAUCGAAUGAGCAAAUGGCUCUCCCCAAAUUUUAAUGCCACUUACGUCUUUAGUGCCGUGCAAAACAUACACAGAACUUGUAGGUUAAAAACUACAAAACACAGAUGGAAAAAAGUUGGAGAAGAUCUAAAUAAGGAGAGACAACGCAUGCCAGUUGGAAGGCUCAACAGAGUAAAAAUGUUAAUUUCCCGGCAUUUGAAAAAUUUCUAUCCACAGGUGCCUACUGAGUCUUCUGUGGGGCCCUCCCAGCAGGAGGACAGGAGGAUUGUGCUGCAACCCAGCAAAGGUUUGUUUCCUCAUCAUAACCAAGACUUUUCACCAGAGCAGAACAUAAACUAUUCAUUCCAGGAACUCAUCCAUGGACCUUGUGGAGAUUGUGGCUUUGACAGUUUGUACUUCCCAGAAGAAAGGGAACUUGUAGAGGACGGUGACAUCCUGGGAACCUGUUAUAACAGGCAUGACCCAUUUCUGACAGCUGACAUUGGGCUAAAUCUUUGCAGAUGGUGUUGUGCAUCAGGUGAAACCUUGAACCUGAAAACAUGGUGGCCUGGAGACCAAGCCCACCCUCACACAAAAGAGGCUUGGGGUUCGAGGAAGCUUCUUUGCAAAGCCCAGGAAGAUCCCCUCUCUCCCUCCUGUGCACACACACUCACAACCCAGUUGGUUCACCCUUUCUCCAGGGUCCAACUAUUUAAAAACUCUGGGGUAAGACAGACCUUGGUCUUUUAGAAUGUUCAUAGACACCUGAGGGAACCGGGUGAAAAUGAAGGACCUCAAGCGUAGAUAACAAAGCAGAGACCUCUUGAGGCAGCUGUGACGUGAAUGAGUCACAGACAUUAAACAGUGAGAGGCCCAGCAAAGCCGAGGUGAGCAGCAGCCACUGAGGCUGGCCCAGCAGAGGGUGGCAGUCUGAGGAGGGAUCAGCAUAGCUCCUUCUGAGGACAGUAGAGUCUGAAGGCUAUGAGCCAUGGCCUCCAGUCAUACCCUGCUUGUGUAUCCACCACAGCUGCCCCUCUGAACCCCCAAGCCAUGUCUGCUUCUCUCAGGGAGUGUCCAGCAGAGGGAGGGAAGCCUUGGUGCUCAGCCUCAGGGGACAGAGGCAGCAGGCACAGCUGCUGCCUCUCCACUCAGCUCUGGCUUUCCCCAGGGGCUGGCUCUGCAAGACAGCCUCCCCCACAAGCUCACAGGACACAUGUGUGUCCUGCUGCUGCUCUGCUGAGGUGUGCUGUCCUCCUGGCUCCCUGCCAAGCCCCGUGCUGGCCCCUCGAGCGCUAUGGUUCAUGCUGUGGAAUCCCUGUUUCCCAGUUGGCCCAGCUGCAGCCAGACUCUCUGGAGCUGGACUCUGAAUGGAGAUGUUUAGGCAGGAGCUGCAGAAGUGUAAAGUCCAAGGUCUGUAUUCUCUUGGGGGCAAGAGACUGCAACAGGCUCCUUCCUGUGUCUCUUUUAGCAUCCCACCCCGCCUGACUCCUAGGAUCUGUUUCAGAUGUGAGCCUUGCCUGGUUUACCAUUGGGAGCAGCAGCCUACGGUGGCCUCAGCUUGGCCAAUUUUGAUAAUGAGCUGGAUUUUCUCACAGUCAGGCCUCUGUGCCAGCGGUGUCUCUGUUUCAAGUGCAUCUGGCUUGCUGUCACUGCAGACUGAGCAGAUGUGAUGGGAAGAGAGGAGGGGCUGAUAACAUUGUCUGGGGCUCUAACCGCCUCUAAGGCUCUGUUUGACAGCUCAAAAAUAGGCCCGUGGUAGGCUAAAAAUUUGGCCCUCAGAAAUAAAUCCCUGUCAACCCCCUGGAAUCUGUGAAUGUGUUUAACUUAUGGAUCUUGUGAAGAAAAGGAGUUUAUCCUGGAUUGUCUGGGUGUGACCUAAAUAUAGUCACGUAUUUUCUCCUCUGGAGGAGGCGGAGGGAGGACUGGGGAGAUGUGGCUAGUGGGAAAGAGGCCUACUGCUCAAGCAUAGAGACCUGAGUCCAAAUCCCCAGAAUUCAUAUAAAAAGCCAGAUGUGGUCACAUAUACCUGCAACUCUGUGCUGUGUGGAGUGGAAAAAGGGGGACGGCUGGCUUGAUGGCUGCCAGCCUAACCCCAGGUUCAGUGAGAGACCCCAACUUAAGGGAAUGAAGCAGAGUGUUGAUGAAGCAGGACAUUCAAUAUCCAAGUAUUCUCCAAGUGUGGACGUGUGCACCCACAUAGACAUGUGCAUGCAUAUCAUGCACGCGCGCGCACACACACACACACA